UACGUAGGGCGCAAGCGUUGUCCGGAAUUAUUGGGCGUAAAGAGCUCGUAGGCGGCUUGUCACGUCGGGUGUGAAAGCCCGGGGCUUGACCCCGGGUCUGCAUUCGAUACGGGCUAGCUAGAGUGUGGUAGGGGAGAGCGGAAUUCCUGGUGUAGCGGUGAAAUGCGCAGAUAUCAGGAGGAACACCGGUGGCGAAGGCGGAUCUCUGGGCCAUUACUGACGCUGAGGAGCGAAAGCGUGGGGAGCGAACAGG
rnacentral:rRNA from 1 species